AGGUCGGGAGGCGUCCGGUGGGACGGGCGCCACGCAUAGACCGGAACCCCCGCUCUCAAUGGGCGACGUGCCGCGGCCCCGGUGGCGCGACG
rfam:Loktanella marina strain CECT 8899 genome assembly, contig: 0001